AACGAACGCUGGCGGCAGGCCUAACACAUGCAAGUCGAGCGCGCCUUCGGGUGAGCGGCGGACGGGUGAGUAACGCGUGGGAAUAUGCCCUUCUCUACGGAAUAGUCCUGGGAAACUGGGGGUAAUACCGUAUACGCCCUUUGGGGGAAAGAUUUAUCGGGGAAGGAUUAGCCCGCGUUGGAUUAGGUAGUUGGUGGGGUAAUGGCCUACCAAGCCGACGAUCCAUAGCUGGUUUGAGAGGAUGAUCAGCCACACUGGGACUGAGACACGGCCCAGACUCCUACGGGAGGCAGCAGUGGGGAAUCUUAGACAAUGGGGGCAACCCUGAUCUAGCCAUGCCGCGUGAGUGAUGAAGGCCUUAGGGUUGUGAAGCUCUUUCAGCUGGGAAGAUAAUGACGGUACCAGCAGAAGAAGCCCCGGCUAACUCCGUG
rnacentral:rRNA from 1 species